UACGAAGGGUGCAAGCGUUAUUCGGAAUUACUGGGCGUAAAGCGUGCGUAGGCGGUUUGUUAAGUCUGAUGUGAAAGCCCCGGGCUCAACCUGGGAAUGGCAAUGGAUACUGGCAAGCUAGAGUGCGGUAGAGGGUAGUGGAAUUCCCGGUGUAGCGGUGAAAUGCGUAGAGAUCGGGAGGAACACCAGUGGCGAAGGCGGCUACCUGGACCAGAACUGACACUGAGGCACGAAAGCGUGGGGAGCAAACAGG
rnacentral:rRNA from 1 species